GAAAAUGACCCACACUACUGAAUGCAGUUGUCUGCAAAUGUAGGAGCCAACAAAUGCUAUGUCCCGCCCUCCCUUGACUUUCUUCUUCCUCAUGGAAUUUGUUUCCAAAGUAUUUCUGAAUCUUUACUGAAGACAUUUGGAUUACAGCUAUGAUCAUAUCCAUGCAAGGACAUGAGCAAACCUGAGCAAUGCUGAGUUUUGUUCAGUGGAGGGACUGCUGUAUGUCAGCCAUGCUAAAGGGCAAGUGAUGGAGGCA
rnacentral:lncRNA from 1 species